UGAAAAUUAAACUUAAUAUCUAUUAACCAAUAUUUCAUAACGACAAUGGUAAUGAAUAAUUUAGCAUAAUUUGGGUGUAUUAUCUUCACUUUAAGUAAAGUUAGACAUUAUUUUAUUGGUUCCUUGUAUUUAUUUUAUUUUUUUAAAAAGAUUUUUUAAAGUUAAAAUAUGACAUUAAAUAACAUAAAUAGAGUACCAAAAAAACCGCCCACUUUUUACAAUUUUCUAAGCGCCCGGGGCGGUUAAUAGGGAUUAUACAGUAUUUGAACCCUUGAAUCAUUUGUUUUAAUGCAAAAAGUUGUUGAAUUAUUAGUUGUGUAUCAUUCAUAAUUGUUUCCUCCAAAAAAGAUAAUAAUAAGUUACCUUCAUCUUUUACAGUACAUGCACACACGGCUUUAAAAAAUUAACAACUUAAAACUGAAUCACACUGAUAAUACUAUUUUAUACAAAUUCAAGAUGCAUGUACAUGUAUGUAGAUCACAAUACUCAAAUGUAUUUUGCAUUUAAAAUUUAAAGUUUUAUUUUUUUUACCACAGAAAAAAUCUGCAGACUGAGAUACUUGUACUGAGGAAAUACCUGCUGUUGAACAAAAAACCCAAGACUUGUUUAGGUAGAAACAACAAUAUGGUCGUCAGGAAUUUUUCUUGAAUUUCCAGCAUUUCCAAAAAUGCACCUUGCAGGCAUGGAUUGAUUGUUGUAGCUUAACACAUGUUACAAGAUUAUUUAACCCUGAUGAGAAGUCACAAGAUGCAGUGAAUGACACUUGGGAGCAAUGAGGAGUGAGGGUUCUUUAGUGUGCCAAUAUCUGCUGUUCCAACCUUUACUCUCUCUACCAAAAGACCUCCAACUUUACAGCACCAAAAUACAUGAUUAGCUACUGGGAAAAUUUUUACAUACUUUUCAUAUGUAACAAUAUUUAGGGAAUAACUAUCUUCUAAUUUGGUAUUUGCGACCGUUAAUGCUGAUUUAACGGUCGCAAACUGAGUUACGCGUCGCCGGUAAAACGGAUGUUUGCGACCCUUAAAUCAGCAUUAACGGUCGCAAAUACUAAAUUAGCAGAUUAGUUAUUCCCAUUCUAAUGCAAUACAUGCAUUUUUUGGUUGUUUACGUCUCAUUUUGAUGAAUUUUGUUACAAGAAAUACGUCACGGAGCAUUGUGUUUUUGCGUCGCUCUAUUAUGACGUCACAAUGAAAUAGCUUUCACGCUCGUUAAUGCUCGUUUUACUGCUUCAAACAUGAGCGCAUUAGCCAAUCAAAAAGUGUUUUACAAAUCUAUUGCAUUAGAAUGCAAGUUUACAGUGUUGUUCAAAUGUAAACAGCAUGUACAUCAUUUUUUAGAUAUACAGAUGUGAUGAAAUAAUUAGGAACUCUAGUUAGUGUACGGUUAGUUUUACCCCACAUGUAUAUAUGUUAUAUCUCAUAAAAAAUAGUUAAAAAAAUUAAAGUUUGAAUAUAAGGUAAAAGCUAAUACAUGUAGCUAUUUAAAAUGACUGAGUGAAAUCAUUAUAAACAAACCUAUACAAGUAAAAUAUUUUUGUAUAUUAAAUUUCAUCAAUACAUGUUUUGGAUACCGAAUGGUACUGUCUGAUUCACCAUAGUUAAAUCUGUCAUACCUGUCAUCAUUUUGUCCUGAAAUGUGAAAUACUUUAUUAAUAAAGUAUUUUACCUGUG